CGAACGGGUGAGUAAUGCGUGACCAACCUGCCCCAUGCUCCAGAAUAGCUCUUGGAAACGGGUGGUAAUGCUGGAUGCUCCAACUUGACGCAUGUCUUGUGGGGAAAGUGUUUAGUGGCAUGGGAUGGGGUCGCGUCCUAUCAGCUUGUAGGCGGGGUAAUGGCCCACCUAGGCUUCGACGGGUAGCCGGCCUGAGAGGGCGGACGGCCACAUUGGGACUGAGAUACGGCCCAGACUCCUACGGGAGGCAGCAGAU
rnacentral:rRNA from 1 species